AGAGUGAACGCUGGCGGUAGGCCUAACACAUGCAAGUCGAACGGCAGCACGGUAAGAGCUUGCUCUUAUGGGUGGCGAGUGGCGGACGGGUGAGGAAUACAUCGGAAUCUACCUUUUGGUGGGGGAUAACGUAGGGAAACUUACGCUAAUACCGCAUACGCCCUUCGGGGGAAAGCCGGGGACCAGCAAUGGCCUGGUGCUGAUAGAUGAGCCGAUGUCGGAUUAGCUAGUUGGUGAGGUAAUGGCUCACCAAGGCGACGAUCCGUAGCUGGUCUGAGAGGGAUGGAUACGAGCCAACACGUGGAACUGAGACACGGUCCAGACUCCUACGGGAGGCAGCAGUGGGGAAUAUUGGACAAUGGGCGCAAGCCUGAUCCAGCCAUACCGCGUGGUGAAGAAGGCCUCGGUUGUAAAGCCCUUUGUUGGAAAGAAAGCAUUCGGUUAAUACCCGGUGUUCUGACGUACCAAGAAUAAGCACCGGCUAACUCGUGCAGCAGCCG
rnacentral:rRNA from 1 species